UACGAAGGGGGCUAGCGUUGCUCGGAAUUACUGGGCGUAAAGCGCACGCAGGCGGAUUGUUAAGUCGGGGGUGAAAUCCUGGAGCUCAACUCCAGAACUGCCUUCGAUACUGGCGAUCUCGAGUUCGGGAGAGGUGAGUGGAACUGCGAGUGUAGGGGUGAAAUUCGUAGAUAUUCGCAAGAACACCAGUGGCGAAGGCGGCUCACUGGCCCGAUACUGACGCUGAGGUGCGAAAGCGUGGGGAGCAAACAGG
rnacentral:rRNA from 1 species